GGUCCUAUAGUGUAGCGGUCAUCACAUCGGAUUCUGAUAUAAAGUGAACUUGGUGAGUUCCGGUAACGUAGGUUCGAUUCCUACUAGGACCU